UACGGAGGGUGCAAGCGUUAUCCGGAUUCACUGGGUCUAAAGGGUGCGUAGGUGGGCUGGUAAGUCAGUGGUGAAAUCUCCAGGCUUAACUUGGAAACUGCCAUUGAUACUAUCAGUCUUGAAUACCGUGGAGGUCAGCGGAAUAUGUCAUGUAGCGGUGAAAUGCUUAGAUAUGACAUAGAACACCAAUUGCGAAGGCAGCUGGCUACACGAAUAUUGACACUGAUGCACGAAAGCGUGGGGAUCAAACAGG
rnacentral:rRNA from 1 species